UACAGGGGGGGCAAGCGUUGUUCGGAAUUACUGGGCGUAAAGGGUUCGUAGGUGGUCACUUAAGUCAGACGUGAAAUCCCUCAGCUUAACUGGGGAACUGCGUCUGAUACUGAGUGGCUUGAGUGCAGGAGAGGGAUGCGGAAUUCCAGGUGUAGCGGUGAAAUGCGUAGAUAUCUGGAGGAACACCGGUGGCGAAGGCGGCAUCCUGGACUGUAACUGACACUGAGGAACGAAAGCCAGGGGAGCAAACGGG
rnacentral:rRNA from 1 species